rnacentral:lncRNA from 1 species
UGGUAAGUACAAUUAUUUUCAAAUUUUGUGUACUUACUGCCAACUUAGUUUUUUAAAGUUUUGUAAAUUUUUAAGCAAGAUAAAUAGUUCAAUUAAUAGAUAUUAAGGUUCUAAAUUGUCCUAAGAUUAGAUUGAUUAGGUUUAAGAUUUGGUUAAGAUUUGAUUUAGGAUUUAAGAUUUUAUGAGGGUUUGAUUUAGGAUUUAGGAUUUUUUUAGGAUUUAAUUUAGGAUCUAAGAUUUAAUUUAGGUUAUAAUUUAGAAUUUAGGAUUUAUCUAGAAUUUGAUUUAGGAUUUAGGAUUUUUUUAAGAUUUAAUUUAAGGUUUAGGAUUUGUCUAGGAUUUGAUUUAGGAUUUAAGAUUUGACUAGGAUUUGAUUUAGGGUUUGAUUUAGGAUUUAAGAUUUAUUUAGAAUUUGAUUUAAAGUUUGAUCUAGAAUGAAGGGGUUGAUUUACGGUUUGAUUUAGAGUUUAAAGUUUUUCUAGAAUUUUAUUUAAGAUUUGGUUUAGGAUUUAAAAAAAUUUCUAGGAUUUAAUUAAA